rnacentral:rRNA from 1 species
GUGGACGGUCAUAGGGGCGUGGUUCCACCUGAUCCCAUUCCGAACUCAGAAGUUAAGCACGCCACCGUCUUGGAUGGUACUGUACUUGCGUACGGGAAGUCCAGGAAGCUGUCCCAC